UACAGAGGGGGCAAGCGUUGUUCGGAAUUACUGGGCGUAAAGAGCGUGUAGGCGGUCCGGUAAGUCCGCUGUGAAAGUCGGGGGCUCAACCCUCGAAUGCCGGUGGAUACUGUCGGGCUAGAGUGCGGAAGAGGCGAGUGGAAUUCCUGGUGUAGCGGUGAAAUGCGCAGAUAUCAGGAGGAACACCUAUUGCGAAGGCAGCUCGCUGGGACGUAACUGACGCUGAGGCACGAAAGCUAGGGGAGCGAAUGGG
rnacentral:rRNA from 1 species